UUUUAUGUGUGCAUAUUAUCCCAUAUUUAUUAUUUUUCUUUUGAUUUACAAAUGUUGCUUGUAAUAGGCCCAUUUCGCUCGGGCCCAUACAAAAACAAAAAAAAAACAACAAAAUAAAUAAAAUAAAUAAAACCAAAUGUUUUAAUAGUCCCAGUCCAUUUACAUUUAUAGCCCAAUAAACCCCAAAACCCAAAUAGCUCCAGAUCAAUGCAGGGUCAGACCUGAAUAAGCAAGGCCUAAUUAGCCUAAGUACAAAAGCCCAAAAUAACAGCCUAAAUCUAAACCUUUGGCCCAAAUAAAAAUUAACCCAAGAGGGCCCGAUGUCUAAAUUCUUUCAGAAACCUUAUGGGUUUCUGAAGUUUCCUCACGCCGCAAUAGCCUCCAAGCCCCAGCAGCUCGACUCUGGGGUAAGCUCGCAGGGCCCAAGCAGGUUGAAGCUUCUAGAAGCCUGUACUGCAGCUCCCACGAACAGCCUCACCACGAGCAGACCUUUUCCUUCGUACAUCCCACGUGCGUCACCACCUCCAGCUGGCUCCUUCUGUACCUAUAACAAAUUAACAAACCACAAGCCACAGCAAGAAGGGCGCAACAACACAACAAAUCUACAGCAAAUGGGCAAGCGAAAAAUAAUAGAAAGAUCUAGGGAAUUUCUUUUAUUUUCUAUUUUUUCUUAUUUCUCUUCAUUGGGCUAUAAAUAAAGACCGAAUGUAAUUUGUAAAGGGUCGAAGAUACGGAUAUUGAAAAAAGCAAUCAAAGUUGAAAAGGUGAUUUUGGAUUCAAAUAUUUUUAAUUUUUCUUUUUUCUUUGGAUUCCAUUAGUUUUUCAUUAGAGUUUAUAUGCAUUUGAAAACAAAGAGAAAACAAGAGAUUUACCUUGCGAAUAUGCUAAGAGAUUCCGUCUUCUUCGUUGAAAUCGGAGCGUAGAAGGAAUCUCGUGGUCGAGAUUAUCGUCCCUCGAAGCCCGAAUCUGUUCGUCACCAUUGAUAGAGGCAGAUCGGUGCUUAAGAGAGGGGUGUUAGGAUCGGUUGAGGGAAAAUCAAGAGAGGCUAGGGUUUUGGUUUCUUAGUCGGCCAAAUGAAGAUAGAUAUGGGGAAGGAUUUGCUUCAUUUGCUGUAGAAAGUGGUAGAGUGGCAUUCAAACAUUUUUUUAGGGUUCAAUUACAAAAUAAAACGACUCCGUUUGAUCUUUGGAGCCCGGGUACCGAAACGUCACCGUUUCAUGCUGACCUGUAAGCGAACCGACCCAACCCGGGGAGGAUCCGCGCGUUUAGCUAUUUUGGGUAAAUUGCGCAUUUGAUCCCUCCUCUUUUGCGCCGGCUUUUAAUUAAGGCUUGUUUCUAUUUACGUUGCUUUUUAAAUUUUUCCAUGGAAUUCGCUUGUCAUUUCAACUUAGUCCACACCUUAAUGCUGCGUUUUGGGACUUGGGACAUUCGCAUUUUUAGUCCCUGUUUGUUUGUGCGCAUUUAAUUCAAGUCCUUGUUUCUGUUUUAAUAAUUUGAUUUGUUUAAGGUUAGCCUCUGGAUUUUGUUUUUUGUUUCAAUUGAGUUCUUUUUAGUUUUUGUAAUUCUUUUACUCUUUCUAAUCCAUUUAUUACUCAUUUUUUUUAUUUUAAUA
rnacentral:lncRNA from 1 species